GACGAACGCUGGCGGCGUGCUUAACACAUGCAAGUCGAACGGAAACGCCCUGCUUGUUGGGUACUCGCGUGGCGAACGGGUGAGUAACACGAGUGUGAUCUGCACUGCACUUUGGGAUAAGCUUGGUAAACGGAGCCUAAUAUCGGACAGGAGACCUUCUUAGUGCGAUGGUUGGAAAGCUUUUUCGGUGUUGGAUGAGCUCGCGCCCUAUCAGCUUGUUGGUGGGGUAAUGGCCUACCAGGGCGGCGACGGGUAGCCGGCCUGAGGGGGUGGACGGCCACAUUGGGACUGAGGGGCGGCCCAGGCGCGUACGGUUGGCAGAAGGGGGGAAUAUUGCACCAGGGGCGCCGGCCGGAUGCAGCGAGGCUGCGGGGUGUAAAACGGCCUUAGGGUGGUGAAAGGCAGUCGCGAGAGACGAAGCUUUUAGUGACGUUACCUGGAGAAGAAGCACCGGCUAACUACGUG
rnacentral:rRNA from 1 species